AUGCAUUCCUUAAGUGUUUUGAUAGUGGUGCUCUGGCUUCAACUGUGGGGCGUGAGCAGCCAGCAGAAGUUGCAGCAGAACCCAGAAUCCCUCAGUGUCCAAGAGGGAGACAUGGCCUCUCUCAACUGCACUUCCAGCGAUCAAAAUUCUCAGUAUUUCUGGUGGUACAGACAGUAUCCUGGGAAAAGCCCCAAGGCUCUGAUGACCAUCAUCUCCAAUGGUAAAAAGGAAGAAGGCAGAUUCACCAUUCAUCUCAAUAAAGCCAGCCUGCAUGUUUCCUUGAACAUCAGAGACUCUCAGCCCAGUGACUCAGCUGUCUACCUGUGUGCAGUGAGCACACAUUGCUGCCCAGGAACCUGCAGCCUGCACCUAAACCCACUUGGCCCCAGGAAGCGCUCAGAUAGAGCUCAGGCCACAGGCUGGGGAAACUUUCUUUUCUAUAGGCAAUGGGGAAUAAAAGCAGGAGUAGAGAGGGUUUGCUUGAUUAGGAAAGUAAUUGACAUUUCCUAA